rnacentral:rRNA from 1 species
GACGGAGGAUGCAAGUGUUAUCCGGAAUCACUGGGCGUAAAGCGUCUGUAGGUGGUUCGAAAAGUCCACUGUUAAAAAUUGAGGCUUAACUUCAAAGAUGCCGUGGAAACUUUCAAACUAGAGUAUGGUAGGGGUAGAGGGAAUUUCCAGUGGAGCGGUGAAAUGCGUAGAUAUCGGGAGGAACACCAGUGGCGAAGGCGGUUGCCUGGAGCUUUGCUGACGCUGAGGCGCGAAAGCGUGGGGAGCGAUCCGG